CUAAGACCCACAUUCGAAAUGUGAGGACUGGUAGAGAAGGGUCGUCGGUGGUUGGUACGGUUAAGGCCACCUGUCUAACGGAUUGAAAAAGAGAGAGGGACUCACUGAGAGGAGCUAUGAUCUCAUCUUUCGAUUCCUCCAUGGUUUGGUUCUUUCCCCAGGUGACUUGAGCAAGACCGCAAAACAAAUGGAUUCGUAUUUACUAGAGCAUGUUAGAGCAGAAAAUGCGGUCAGUUUCGCAAAUAUUAGAGGCUAAAAGGAAUCUUGGAGCCUGCUAAGAGCUUACUUCAGUUGGGAAUUCUGGAUUAGUUGUAAAAAUCCUUGGCUUGAAAAUUUUCGUCCCAGAUUGACUAA